rnacentral:rRNA from 1 species
GGCCUAACACAUGCAAGUCGAGGGGCAUCACGAGGUAGCAAUACUUUGGUGGCGACCGGCGCACGGGUGCGUAACGCGUAUGUAACCUACCUAUAACAGGGGCAUAACACUGAGAAAUUGGUACUAAUUCCCCAUAAUAUUCGGAGAGGCAUCUCUCCGGGUUGAAAACUCCGGUGGUUAUAGAUGGACAUGCGUUGUAUUAGCUAGUUGGUGAGGUAACGGCUCACCAAGGCAACGAUACAUAGGGGGACUGAGAGGUUAACCCCCCACACUGGUACUGAGACACGGACCAGACUCCUACGGGAGGCAGCAGUGAGGAAUAUUGGUCAAUGGACGCAAGUCUGAACCAGCCAUGCCGCGUGCAGGAAGACGGCUCUAUGAGUUGUAAACUGCUUUUGUACGAGGGUAAACUCACCUACGUGUAGGUGACUGAAAGUAUCGUACGAAUAAGGAUCGGCUAACUCCGUGCCAGCAGCCGCGGUAAUACGGAGGAUUCAAGCGUUAUCCGGAUUUAUUGGGUUUAAAGGGUGCGUAGGCGGUUUGAUAAGUUAGAGGUGAAAUCCCGGGGCUUAACUCCGGAACUGCCUCUAAUACUGUUAGACUAGAGAGUAGUUGC